CCAGCUGUGCUGAUAAUGUUCUUGGUGCAUCUCUUAGGCUUUUGGAUUUGUGCAGCACCACUAAAGAUGCUUUCUUGCAAAUGAGAGCUUCCUUUCAAGAUCUUGAGUCAUCUCUACGAAGAAGAGAAGCUGACCUAACAAGCAAAGUUGGAAGCUACUUAAUCUGUAUGAAAAAGGUCAAUAAAAUGGUUUCCAAGUGCUUUACAAGUUUAAAGAAAUUGAGGAACAACAAAAACCAAGAGAGUUUACCUAUGGUUAACAUGCUAAGAGAAGCUGAAGAAGUCAGUAUCACGAUUUUUGAGUCCCUUUUUUCUUCUUUCUGUCCUGUUAAGGCAACAUCAAAACAAAGUAGCUGGUCUUUGGUUGCCAAGUUAACGCAAUCCAAGCGUGCACAUUGUGAAGGAGGCAUCGAUGAAGAUAUGCAUAUGGCUUUGGAAGCUCUAUACAAGCAGAAAUCAAACAAGGACACUGAUAUCUUGAGAAUUCAAGAAGCGCAGAAGUGUUUGAUGGCAUUGGACAUGAACAUGCAACAAUGUGAGGAGGAUUUAGACCGUCUUUUUCGAUCUUUGAUUAAGAUCAGAGUCUCACUUCUCAAUGUGCUCAACCACUAGUUUCUAUUUGGAAAAUUCUCAAUGUAGUAGGAUCUAAUAGCAUCCCUUAAUUUUUGGCGAGGGAUCUAUAUAUUGGUACAUACAAAUCAAAGUGAAUUAUUUUAUGAGGACAAAACAAUUUGAUAUCAAAUUCCAUAUCCAUAUACAUUUCUUUUAGUGAGAGUGUGGCUUUGUUAACUCUACUAACAGCCAGGGCUUAUGCAGAUACUUCAGCAUUGCUAACAACUAGAGAUUUUUUUUGGAACUUUUAUCCAACAUAAAAAAGAGUAAAAAGAAGAAGAGAACAGUUGUAUAAUUCUCAAUUUACAGUCUAAACUCACAGUAGUCAGGGCUCCAGUUGUCCCCAUAUAUUAUAUGGACAAGACCUUUUAAAAUAAGAUCUUGAAAGAUUAUUUGCAAAUAGAUUAUCAUGCAUAUACUGAUAAUUUAUAUGCUACAAUAGAGCUGCACUUGCAAGUUCACAUGAAAGUUUGUUAAUGCCUAGCUCAGUUAACCUAGCUGCCCUAAACAAUUCUUAAAUUGGAGACAAGGUAAUGAAGAUUUUCAAUAUUCACAUGCUGCAGGAUGCAUUGAGGUUUGGGCAAAAGAAAUAUUUGAUCAGUCUGUCCUAGCUCUCUAUGCAUCUUCUCAAGAAGCAUGCUACUCGUGCACAUACUUAUUUUAAUUCAGUAGCUACUUUUAGUGGUUAUAAACUCCCCAAGAUGCAGGCAGCAAUGAUGAGACAUUGGUGGAGCUUUAGGACAUGAAAGCCAUAUUAACUUUCAGUGAUGGAUUCCUUUUCUCUUCCUUUUUCUUGCAAAUUUUUUAGACAGAAACUGUAUUUUCUCUAAUGAGUCUCAAACAGUGAUCAAUAUUUUCAUCUUCGUUGGCAUCGGUUAUUUCAUUGUUGAAAUCUUCUGUCUUGUAUAUACUAGCCUGAAAUCUUAGACUUUUAUGAAAUAUGACUUGUAAUUAUGGGGAAAGGAAAAGAAGAGAAAAACAUCUUUUGCAUCUCUUUACCAGAUAUGCAAAAGAUGACAUUGAAAGGCCACAAAAUAGCUAGCUAAUGAAAGGCCUUGACAGGUAGAUCAUUCUCUUUUCCAGAUUGUAUCAUAUAAAAUCCAUUGUAGUCUAAUAGGUUUCUAACAUAUAAUUGAUUUGUCAUUUAGAUGUGCAAGUUUUCAGUAUAUCACUCAAAACUUCUAAAAAUGAAUUCAGCAAUAAUGGCCAUAUUCUUCUUGUUUGGUAAACAUGGUGGCAAACCAUUGUAUUCUUCUUUUAUUUCUCUUUUUUCACAUUGAUGUGAAGAAGGAUGAAAAUUAUGCAAACUUUAGACGGUUCCAGUCAUCAGCACCAGAGGGAAAUGAAGUCGUUAACAAUAUGAUUCCUUUUGUCUCCCUUUUCAAAUAUAUAAGGCAGAGCACAGAUGAUGAGACCAACUUGAUCAUAUUAUUGUUAAUUAAUUACAGGCUGUAAGGUUCCUCUUUCUUGUCUGCAAAUACUCAAAUAUCAUAGAGAUUUGCACAUUCUCAUUGUAUCUGUCCAAAUUUCGAAAGAUAAAUUAUGGUCAUGUUCUUCUAGGGAAGACUUUGUGGCAAUCCACUCGUGUACAAUUAUUUAAUAGCUAUUUUCAUGUUAUUUCUUUCUAAGGAGGAAACAUAUCCUGAAUUUUAGCAAGCUUCAGCGUUCAGCACAUGAAAGACAAGGAUUAAGUUAUAACAAUAGGAUUCCUUUUUGUCUCCCUUCUCCUAUAUAUAUAUAUAAGGUUCCAAAGGCAUACUCCCUCCGUUACUUAAUAUAGGUCGUUUUAGAGUUGUGCACAAGUAUUAAGGAAAUGAUUGUAAAGCAUUAAAUAUACAAUUAAUGCUUAUAUGAAAUUCUCAAACGACUUAUAUUUAGGAAUAAAAACAUGACUCUAAAACGACUUAUAUUAAGGAACGGAAAGAGUAGUUUGAUCAAACCAACCUUGAAUUCAACAUUUCAUUGAAAUCUUUACUCUUGCCAAGAGCAUGGCUGCCUCUAAUGCAACCUCAAAAGUUAGUACUCAUUCUCGUUCCAUCAGCUUACCGUCCAGAUCACAUCCCUUGAGUGCCAAUUUUGAGGAGCACUUGUACAGGUUAAGGGCCACGGAAGAGACAUCAACAUCAUCACAAUCGGUGAAAUGCAACAAGUUGGCUGGCCUGAAAGACUUGUACGAGUGUGUAGACGAUUUGCUUUAAUUACCAGCCACACAACAAAAUCUUUCAAGCUGUGCUGAAGAUGUUCUUUGCGGAUCUGUUAGGCUGCUGGAUUUGUGCAGCACCACUAAAGAUGCUUUUUUGCAAAUAAAAGCUUCAGUGCAAGAUCUUGAGUCAUCUCUACGAAGAAGAGAAGCUGAUGUAUCAAGCAAAGUUGGAAGCUACUUUAUCUGUAUGAAAAAGGUCAACAAAAUGGUUUCCAAGUGCUUUGCCAGUUUAAAGAAAUCGAAGAAGAGCAAAAGCAAAGAGACUUCUGCUAAGAGAAGUUGACGAAGUCAGUAUCACCAUAUUCGAGUCCCUCUUUUCUUCUAUUUGUCCUUUAAAGGCAACAGCUAAACAAAAUAGUUGGUCUCUUUUUAGUGUACAUUGUCAAGGAGGCAGCGAAGAAGAUAUGCUUAUGGCUUUGGA
rnacentral:lncRNA from 1 species